CUCGCCAACUGCGCUAAACGGGAACUUUAAUAUACAUGAGUUUCCAGGCGGAAUGUAAAAUCUGUACCACUAUGAUCUCCAGUAGCAGCCCCAGCCGUGGGAGGCAGAUUCAUGAUGCACCUAUGGCCUUAAUUAUCUCUGAACAUCCCAAUCUCACAUGACCUAUAGGGCGGGGAUGUAUAUAAAUGAUCAUUAAAUCCCACAAACCAAGGAGCGGUUAUAUUGGAGUCAAUUUUAUUGGUUCGUGUUCAGUGUCAAGCAGUAUUCUAGCAAUCAAGCCAAGUCAGCGCAGCAGCAACAACAGAUGCAGCAGCAGUCGUACGCAAUACAUCAACAACACUGGAAAACCGGAUAACAAAGCGUUGAUUUUGUUCUGGAUGCAUUAGCAGUCACAGUACAUGAACCGACAGUAGUCAUUGUCUCGAGAUUCUAAGGCCUCUGAACCAUCAGUCUAUGAACAUAAUGCAGAGCAAU